AUUGAACGCUGGCGGCAGGCCUAACACAUGCAAGUCGAACGAGUGGCGGACGGGUGAGUAAUGUCUGGGACACUGCCCGAUGGAGGGGGAUAACUACUGGAAACUGUAGCUAAUACCGCAUACCAUCGGAUGUGCCCAGAUGGGAUUAUCUAGUAGGUGGGGUAAUGGCUCACCUGGGCGCAUAUCCCUAUCUGGUCUGAGAGGAUGAACAGCCACACUGGAACUGAGACACGGUCCAGAGUCCUACGUGAGGCAGCAGUGGGGAAUAUUGCACAAUGGGCGCAAGCCUGAUGCAGCCAUGCCGCGUGUAUGAAGAAGGCCUUCGGGUUGUAAAGUACUUGCAGCGAGGAGGCGUUACUCGCAGAAGAAGCACCGGCUAACUCCGUGCCAGCAGCCGCGGUAAUAC
rnacentral:rRNA from 1 species